CUUGACCGAGCCCAACAACAGCGGCCGAUCAGCCGACCGCCCCUGACCGUAGGUGGCCAACAGCGCCUGCGCCUC
rfam:Streptomyces sp. 769, complete genome.